rnacentral:tRNA from 1 species
GCGCCCGUAGCCUAGAGGAUCAGGCAGCGACCUUCUAAGUCGCCUUACACAGGUUCAAAUCCUGUCGGGCGCG